GCCGCCCCGGCUUGCCGGAAAAUCCAACUAUUUCCAAAAAUUCUCAAAAAAAUACAAAAUUGAAGAUCUCAAUGAGUAGAGCAACUUUCAUACAUGUGGCCAAGGCCAAUUUGGCCUGGAAACACUUCAAAUUCAUCAAAUUCCGUGCGGACCCUAUAAUUGGGUGAGUUCCAAUUCGACCUUCAAAUCAACUCUACCGUCCAAAUCAAAGCUUGGGAUUUGUUCCAGGUCCUAAGGGAAUACUAAUGGUGUUAGUAAUUGAAAGAAAACAUUUCAAGAUUUGAAGAAUUUGGACAAGAAGGUCGCGGCACCCGUGUGGGUGUUCUUCGUGAAAUCACCACGAAAUUUCAUGAUUUUUUGGGUGAAACAUGAAGAGGGAAGGCCUAGGUGUUGAUUGGAAGUGGUACCUUGAUCCAAUUUGUGAGAAAUCCGGUGAAAAUCGCCAAAAUUUGGGUGUGGGUGUCGCGGGUAAACGGGUUGGGGGAAAACCCGUUUUCUGAUCUUCUCUCCUCCGCUUCUCGCCCUCUCUCCUUUCCUCCUUUCCUCUGUUCCGAUUGGUCGGCUUCUCCCUCUCUCAAUCCCUCCUGAUGCCUUCUUCUCUCUUGUCCCGAUUGGGCAUUUCUGCCCAAUCUCCUUCCUCUGUUUCUUCCUCUCACGCACACACACACAAAAACCUUCUUUCACUUAUAUUUAUUUAUUUUUGUUUUCCUUACAUCCAAGCUAUCCAUUUAAUUCUUCAUUAAAUCUGGGCCAUCCAAAUUUUAAUAAUAAAAUUUAUAAAAUGCCCAAACUUCAAACUUUAAAAUCUUUUUCGUUAUAACUCCAAAUAACGAAUCGUCAGCGUCCGCACGUCCGUAGCGACGAGUACUACGAGGAUAUGUCAAGAAAACAAAUCUUAGAUGGCAUGACACAACGAUUAAUCUCGAAUAAUGCGCGUACCUCAAAGGGCAUUUUUGUAAAAUCCUUUAUUAAAACUUUAAAACUCUUAAAAUCAGGGACGGGCUGUCACACUGGUAGCCAAGUUUCCAAAGUAACAAAACUUCACCAUUUUCCUUUCUAAGUGGUAGCCCAAAACUCCUUUUUCAUGUGUAUUUGUUAUGAAAGUUGUUAGGCCCAAAGAAGAUGAGGCCUAGGCAAUUUUUUUUUUUGAAUUUUCGAAUUUUUGAAUUUUUGAAUUUCUGAAUUUUCGAAUUUCUGAAUUUCUGAAUUUUC
rnacentral:lncRNA from 1 species